UGAGUUGAAAGUUUUGUGAAAAUAUUUCAAACUAAUAUUCUCAUUUCCUCCCUAUUUGCUUUACGUGUUUCCCUAUAAAAGAUGUAAAUAUUGAACCAGAUAUUUCUUCCAGAUCUAAGACCAGGAGUGCCUUGAAUUAUAUUGAACUCAGCAAGAUCAUGUGUUGCUAACAUUGUAAAUAGUUGGAAAUUUGGUGAAUAUCAAACCUAAAUAU
rnacentral:lncRNA from 10 species